UGGGGAAUCUUGGACAAUGGGGGAAACCCUGAUCCAGCGAUGCCGCGUGGGUGAAGAAGGCCUUCGGGUUGUAAAGCCCUUUAAGCUGGGAAGAAGUUUGGUGCGUGAAUAGCGCAUUGGAUUGACGGUACCGGCAGAAUAAGCGCCGGCAAACUCUGUGCCAGCAGCCGCGGUAAUACAGAGGGCGCGAGCGUUAAUCGGAUUAACUGGGCGUAAAGGGCGCGUAGGCGGUUAUGUGAGUGUGAUGUGAAAGCCCUGGGCUUAACCUAGGAAGUGCAUCGCAAACGACAUGACUGGAGUAUUGGAGAGGGUAGCGGAAUUUCCGGUGUAGCGGUGAAAUGCGUAGAGAUCGGAAGGAACGUCAAUGGCGAAGGCAGCUACCUGGCCAAAUACUGACGCUGAGGCGCGAAAGCGUGGGGAGCAAACAGGAUUAGAUACCCCCGUAGUCC
rnacentral:rRNA from 1 species